rnacentral:rRNA from 1 species
UACGAAGGGUGCAACCGUUGCUCGGAAUUAUUGGGCGUAAAGCGCACGUAGGCGGCUCUGCAAGUCGGAUGUGAAAUCCCUCGGCUCAACCAAGGAAGUGCAUCCGAAACUGCGGAGCUUGAGUACUUAAGAGGAUCGCGGAAUUCCCGGUGUAGAGGUGAAAUUCGUAGAUAUCGGGAGGAACACCAGUGGCGAAGGCGGCGAUCUGGGAAGAUACUGACGCUGAGGUGCGAAAGCGUGGGGAGCAAACAGG